rnacentral:misc_RNA from 1 species
UUAGCUAUGGAUCGCGAUGUGUUUAUGAUCUAAAGUGUGAUACAUGUCUACGCUGAAGAUCGACCAUGCAAGCCACCGCCUUCACGGGCAGCGCCUUCACGGGCCGUGUGGUUAGCGAAUACAGAGCUCCUAACCGUCCGCGAGACAACAAACCCCUGACAUCUGACCUCAAAUCAGGUAGGACUACCCGCUGAACUUAA